rnacentral:lncRNA from 1 species
CUAACUAGAAUUUUUCCUUCAAGAGGGGUAUUAACUACAUCAGGUUAUAGUCUAGCAGGCACCAUGUUGUUACAAAUGAAAUAUUGAUUUGGUCACUACUCAUUUUAACUAAAUAAGGUAUGAGAAAACCAAAAUCAGCUGAAGCUCACAAAUCUUAUAAAUGAAUAUGCUAAAAAUAGGCUGUAUACAGUAAACAGUCUUACAAAGCCUGCCAGUUUUUGGAAAAGAUGCCCCACAUUAUAGAGCAAAAUUUGUCAGCCUCUUCACUAACUCAUCCGCAGAUCAAACAGAUAUUCGGCCUAUUCAGUCAUUAUCAUAAUUAUGCUGCUUGGAAUUCAAACAUAAUAUAUAUAUAUAUAGCCAUUAGCUCCACAAGAUAAUUAUGAAAAUGUAUCAUUAUUCAACAAUAUCACAAGUUUAUCUUGCACAAGACAUCCAACUAACGAGACGAGAACUUGAAAUAGAACAAAAAAAUAUUAUUUUAUUCAUUAUAAUCUCAUGAAAAUGCAUAACAUGUCAUUCAGAAGAAAGAGAUUGAAAAAAAAAAUAUGGAAAGGUCUCAACCAUAUACAAAAUUUAUGUAUCUAUGGACACAAAUUAAUAUUGCCUCGAGACUCAAAAAGCAGAUUUUCUGGUCUAUGCAGGAAUUCAUCUUAACCUUUCUUUUGGAGCCCGAGAAGAGUAGGUCUCCUCAAUAUGCCGUGUGAGCAAAGAAAUCCCAUAAUGUGAAGCACUUGAGGCAGCAUAAUAAGAUGUUACAGUGAGUUGAGCAAACGCUGGAAGUGCAUUACCUACAAAUUCACAUGUUAACAGAAAAUUGAAUUAUGUAUGCAUCUGAAUUUGGGUGCUCAUUCAUUUGCAAUUAUAUGUAUCAGAACAUGUUGAUAUACACAAGUUAAUACAAAUGAACAAGGAGCUCCUAGGUGGAGAAUUGCAAACCAAGAUAAUGCAGAACAAGCAGACUCUAUAAUUGAUAUAUUUUAAUAUCAAG